UUCACGGACUGGCUGUUUGGCCAGAACGAGGAUUUUCACGAAAACAUCGACCGCAGAUUGCGCAGCAUAGCUGUUUAAAAAGCCCGUGGGAAUGGAUCCAGCCGCGUGACAGCUCCCUGGAUGGCGGGUUUAAAGUAGUUUUAGUAAUGUUUGAUUGUGAAGACAGACGUUAGAGGAGAUUUAACGACGAUGGGACUUAUUUGAUGUCCAAGACGGAGAGAUAGGGGCCAAAGAAGUGGACCCCCCCCUGCUUUUCUCUUCGGUUGUGGCGCUACAGCCGAUGGAGGCGGACGGGACGUUUGCAGCGAGCUGGAGGCCCGGAGCGUCUCCUGUGAAGCGUCGUCACUUCGCCGCGGGACUCAUUUGAGACACAACCCCGCACUUUGCGUUUCAAACGGCUGAUUGGGCAACUUUUUUAGCGGAGGAGAGAAAGUUAGCAGCUCGGCUUUAGCUGCGCUCACCAUGACCAUCAUUGACACCACUUAACGGAGCCUCAGGUCACGCAGCGCAGGUGAACCCACGCAUUGUGACCCUGUUCAUGGACUCCACGCCGUCUCUCUGUGGAGCCUGUUCGUGGGAAGCCGAAAUCUCCCUGCGUACUUUCGAGGACUGUCUUCUCAAACAGGGGCUGCUUUUAUUUAUUUAUUAUUAUAUAUUUGUUUUGUUCUAAGAACUUUCCCCCAUUCCACUGACCAACAUGUCACUGAAAGAAAACGCCUGCCGCAAAUUUCAAGCCAACAUUUUCAACAAAAGUAAAUGUCAAAAUUGCUUCAAACCAAGAGAAUCCCACCUGCUGAACGACGAAGACUUAAAUCAGGCAAAACCCAUAUAUGGAGGAUGGCUGCUACUGGCGCCUGAGGGGACGAAUUUCGACAACCCUUUGCACCGAUCUCGAAAAUGGCAAAGAAGGUUCUUCAUCCUCUAUGAGCACGGGUUACUUCGCUAUGCUUUGGACGAAAUGCCCAGCACUCUACCCCAGGGUACAAUCAACAUGAACCAGUGCCUGGAUGUCGUUGAUGGCGAGUCCAGGACAGGUCAGAAGAACUCUCUGUGCAUCCUCACCCCUGAAAAAGACCACUUCAUUCGGGCCGAGUGCAAAGAAAUCAUCAAUGGGUGGCAGGAGGCUCUGACUGUCUAUCCUAGGACCAACAAGCAGAACCAGAAGAAAAAGCGCAAAGUUGAUCCUCCUACUCAGCAGGAGCCAGGGCCUGCCAAGGUAACCGUGACCAGCAGUGGAGGCAGUAUACCAUGCCUUCCCAGCAGCAUUGCAGACGCCGAGCAGAUCCCAAUGAGCCGCGCCACCUUGUGGCAGGAGCAGAGCCGCUGGAGCAGGGCUACCAUCCCCUGCAGCCGCAGUGCUUCCUGUCUCAGUCAGCUGAACCAAAGCCAGACAGACUCCAGCGUCACCACCCGGGAUGAUGGCGGCACCGUCAGCACAGACCGGAAAGUCCGCGUGGAGAGUGGUUACUUCUCACUGGAGAAGACCAAGUCAGAACCUUCUCCUCAGUCUGCACAGCCCCCCCAGCAUCUGCCCCUGUCCUCCUCAGCAUCAUCAUCCUCUUUAGGAGCUCCCGCUUCCAGGUACAACUCUGAAUCUGAAUCCCAAAUUUCCCCUCAUCUCCCCUCUCCAAAAGCCCUUAUUUCCCCGAGCUCCUCCACCAUCAGCUCCUCCCAGAGCUCGCUGGACUCUGAACCCAGCAGCGUGACUUCACCCACCUGGGAGGGGCGUAGUAGUAGUGGAGGUGGAGGGAGCACUCGUAGCAUCAGCACUGUUGGAAGCAGAGUUGGCCGGUCGGGCAAAGAGUACACGGCGCUGUCUGAUGUUCCUCGAGCUCGUAUACUGAGCUACAAAGAAGCUUUCCGCUCGGAGAAACAGCGCCAGGAGCUGAGGGCACGGACUCGGAGUCCCGGAAGGGAGGAGGUGGUGCGACUGUUUGGGGAGGAGCGCAGGAGAUCUCAAAUCAUUGGCCGCUUUGAGGAUAAUCAACACGUGGAGCGUAUGGAUACAAGUAGUAGCCAUGACUCCUCGGUCAACACAACAGCCAAUCACAGACAAGGCCGAAGCGAGAGACGCUAUCUGGAUGGCAAACAUGAGAUGUCACUGGACACAGGAAAGGACUGCUUGGCCCCAGAUGUGUCCAGCUCCAAUUUCCUGAAUUUGAGAAGAGCAAAGUCUUUAGACCGCAGAGCUACAGAGUCUUCAAUGACUCCGGAUUUGCUGAACUUUAAGAAAGGAUGGAUGACGAAGCUUUAUGAAGAUGGAGUGUGGAAGAAGCACUGGUUUGUGCUGACAGACCAGAAUCUGAGGUACUACAAAGACUCGAUAGCUGAGGAGGCCUCUGAACUAGAUGGUGAGAUUGACCUUUCUACGUGUUACGAUGUCAAAGAGUUCCCUGUCCAGAGGAAUUAUGGUUUCCAGAUUCUGUGUAAGGAUGGAGCAUGCACCCUGUCAGCUAUGACCUCUGGAAUCCGACGCAACUGGAUUCAGGCCAUCAUGAAGAAUGUGCGACCCACCAUUGCCCCUGACGUCACCCGGAAAAACAUCUCUCUGAAACUGUCCGUUCUGAAGCCCAGGUUGGAGUGCUUAUCUGUCCCUGAUGAAAAUAUGAAAGGCCAACAGGUAAUGCUGGAGCCAUGUCCACAGGUGAACUCUGACCCAGUGCCCAAGUCUGAUGAGCCCAAACAGUCACUGGGCAGCAGCGCCACCACUCCUCCAUCUGAGCCACGUAGGAAAGGAGUCCGUGAGCGAAGGCGAGAGGGUCGCUCAAAAACCUACGACUGGAACGAGUUUAAAAUGGAAAAGAAAGAAAAACCUGUAAAAGAACGAGCGGACACAGUUGAUCUCAGCUCCACACUCUCUACAACUUCCUCCUGCUGCUCGCCUUCUUCCUCUGCCUCCUCUUUGGCAUCCUCUCCUGUGUCUUCCUCCUCCCUGAGAACCUCAUCCAUAUCAGCUUCUCUCCCUUCUAAUGUGAAAGAGGAAGAAUUCUUAUCCAGAAGUCAAGAGCAGGGAAAAAUGGAUGUAGACCACUCAAGAGACAUUAGUCUAAAAGGUAUAGACACACCAGACAGCGUAGCCCCAGACGUCCAAGAAGAAAUCGAACAACGGUGGCAUCAGGUGGAGACGACACCAUUAAGAGAAGAGAAACAGGUGCCAAUAUCCACAGCUUUAGGAAACACUGAGCGACUCCCUGCACAUGAGCUUGCCGCACUGCUAGACAAGGAGUUGGGGCAAAAGCAAAAGGAGCUGGACAGACUACAAGAGCAGAACAACCUGUUAAAAGAGCAACUGGAAGAUGCUCUUGGGAGAGAGCAAAGUGCCAGGGACGGAUAUGUAUUACAGAGUGCAUCACCAUCUUCCUCAUCCCCACGCAAAGUGCCAUGGCAACAGUUACACAAGCUCAAUCAAGAUUUACAGGGUGAGUUGGAGUCACAGAAGCGAAAACAGGACCUUGCACAGCAGCAGAUUCGAGCAUUAAGGAGAAGUUACACUGAAGCCCAGGAUGCUGUUGACCGCCAUGAGACUGACAUUCAAGCUCUGCAGACCAAACUUUCAUCUGCUAUGGCAGAAAUCUUAGCCAGUGAACAGGCCGUUGCUCGGAUGCGCAACGAGCUCAAGCUAGAACAACAGCGGUCAAAAGAACAAGAGGAGGAAUAUGGCCGCAAUGAGGCCACCUUACGAGCCCAGUUAAAGGACAGUGAAGACAGACUCCGUGAAGUUGAGGCAAGUCUUUUGGAAAGAAACCAGGCCCUCAGGCACCUGGAGCGCCAGCAAGCCCUGCAACGAGAUCACAUUAAAGAGAUACAGAGGUUACAAGAGAGACUGCAAGAGGUAACAGCUCGACUAAUUGCUACGGAAGAGGGUCAGGCACUAAAGGAAGAGCGACUGAGGAAUGAGCAACGCAGCAUGCAGGAGAAACACGAGAGGGAGAGACAGAAUCUGUGUAGAAGACUGGAUGAGGCUGAAACUGCAAAGAAGGAAGUAGAGGAAAGCUUGUUAGAGGCUGAGCAACAGAUUGAAGCGUUGCUGAGAGGGAGGCAAGCUUCAGGUGUGAAAGAGUACAAAGAGGAAAUGUUGAAGAUGCAGGAGCAGCUAGACAUAAAGACUGACAUGGUUGAGACACUGAGGGAAAGUGUGCGAAGGUUGGAGGAAGAGAAAGGCCAGCUGACCUGCCGCUGUCAGGAGCUCCUCAACCAGAUCACUGAGGCAGACCGGGAAGUAAACAAACUCAGAAAUCGGCUGGAAAUCGAGGAAGCAGAUUACUGCACCCUGGAGCAUUCAUAUGAGAGGGCUACUCAAGAGUUUCAGAAGAUGAGCAAGUUUCUUAAAGAAAAAGAAGAUGAGAUAAAGCAGACUAAAGAGGUGUAUGAAAGGCUGAUGGAACGUAAAGAGGAGGAUCUAAAAGAGGCUCUUGUCAAAAUGACUGCCCUUGGCUCCAGCUUGGAGGAAACCGAACAAAAGCUGCAAGCAAAAGAAGAACUUCUUUGUCAAAUGAGUCAAAGUCUUAACACUAACACUGAGCCCUGCAAUUCUGAAGAUUUACAAGCCAAACUUGUGGUUGCAGAAGACCGCAUCACAGAGUUAGAGCAGCACCUCACUGCCCUGCAGCUAGGCUAUGCUGACCUUUGCUUGGAAAGGAAGCAAAUCCUGGACCAGGACAAAAGUGGAACACUUAAAACAUCAUCUCCUUCAUCAUUAAGUACAGAGCACUCCAUUGAGAACUCUUCCAAGAUGGAGAACAUAUCUGAUGGCAAAGACUUUGAAGCUAAGAGACCAAGGAUACGAUUUUCAAGUAUUCAGUGCCAAAAAUAUGUUGAAUCUGAAGAAGUAGAUCCCACCCAUGAUAGCAGUGAUUACGUUGAAAGCUACCAAACAAACCAAGAUCCAAACGUGGACUUUCAAUUGGCUGGUGAAAACAUCUCAGACAUAGCACUUUCUCACACUAGUGACCCAGAGAAGUUUAUCGCCAUCAUACAUGCACUGGAAACAAAACUACUUGCCACUGAGGAUAAGCUAAGAAACCUCACACAGAACCUAGAUGUGCAGCCAGCUGCAGGAACUGCUGAAAUCUCAAACAUUGUUCCUAAGAUUGCAGAAAACGUGCCUUGCUCAAUACAGGGGAUUGGUGGUGUUGAAGGUGGGGAGAGUAGUACUGCUCUCAAGCAUUAUACCAAUGCCUUGGUGUGUGUUGAAAAUGGCCGUGAAAAAGUAAGGGCUAUACUUAGUGGCUCCCAUGUUACCACUGAUUUACAGCUUCACUCACUUUCAGAGAUAGAGAGUGAUUUGUUUGGUGCCUCUCUGCACAUUAGACAAGGCCAAAAGACCUUGGAAGAGCAGUCACCAGAUGUCCAUCAAGAUCAAACCCCAGAGAUUGUAGACAAUGAAGCACUUCUUCUCUAUGCCAAGUCCCUGUCAUUCGAAGCCAUGGUUUUAAACAAAAUGGCUGUGUUGAUACAAACCUCAAAGUCUGACCUGUUGCAAGCCCUCGUUGAGAUAUGGCAGAAUUUGGAGCACAUUAAAUCAAGUGAAAAGGACUGCUUGGCAAUAGUAUAUGCUGAUGUAUUAACCCGGAAGCUCCUGUUGGAGAGUACAUUCUUGAUGGAGUUGGAAAAAUCUGAUGCUGAUGCUCCUGGAUUCAAAGACAAUGAAGCAACUGGUGUAGAUCGAACCAUUGUUGACGCCCUUUUCAAGGCAGAAAUUGCUUUCUCAAUGGAAAACCUCAAACAAUGUUAUGAAGAGAAAUUCAAACUGCUCAAAAGUGAGUUGACUGAUGCCCACAAUAGGCUUUAUCAAAGAGAAAUGGCUCUUAAAGCAAUUUUUGAUGCUUCGAAAAGACCCGACUUAAAAUCUGUAAUCAAGGAUGUAAAAAUGGACCUUGGUGUUGGCAAACAGAAGUUGGCUGACAUUCGCCCUCCUGAACUCGCUCCCUACAUGGAGCAGAUUGAGAUGGAGGAAGCUAGAGAUUUGGCCGAGGAAACAGUUGAUAGACACUUGGGAAGUUUGAUGCCCUGUUGUGUCGAUCAGUCUAUUGAAUUAUUUCAAAACACUCAUGACAACCUGGCUGAUGAACUCCAAAGGCAAGCAGAAAUCUUGCAAAGGUAUGCUGAAGAGAUAGAAGGCGGUAGAAGCAGCCCCGCACUUUCCAAAAUGAUCCAGGGUGUUUUGGGACACCAAACAUCUCAGAAUGUUACGAGCACCUCUCUUUGUAUGCGCGAGGCCCUUAUACAUUCUCAAGUGGCCUAUGUGGCAUGCAGGUUACGGGCCAUACAUGAGCAAGAGUUGGACUUGUGUAAGCAGACUAGUCAGAACAUGGAAGCUCUGGUGCAACAGCAUGCCUGCAAAGUCGCAGAAAUCCAAGAAAAAUAUGAGGUUUCUCUACAAAAGGAGCAAGAGAACUUCUCCCAAACUAUGGUCACACUCCAGAAAGAGAACGAAAUCUUGAAGAGUGAGCUCAGCACACGUGUUAACCAGCUCACCCAGCAGCAGGAGCAAGUGGCUCUCCUGGAACAUCGUUUCCGGAAGGAGACAGAGGAGCUGAAGGAGAAGUGUCAAAACGAGCUCAGCCAAGCAGAGCGUUGCCUUGCAUCAACAGAGCUGGCACUCAUGGAGACCACAGCUGACAGUCAGCGGAAGCUUGAGGUUCUGCUGGGAGACAUAGACAGCAUGGAGGAACGUCACAACAGUCAUGUUAGGAAGCUGGAGGAGCAAUUUAAUGACAGGAUCACCGAACUUCAACGCAUUCAACAAGAGGAGUUUGAUAAGUUGCAUUCCCAGUACGUCGAAAGCAGUCAGGGUGCCGAAAAACACCCUGAAGUCCUUCUCUCACCUCAUUGUGAGGAAGUUGAGACGCAGAUGGAAGAGGAAGAGCAGGGGAAGAGGGUGAAUGCACAAAACGUGUCAGAGGUGGACUCCAUGGUGGUUCUUAAGGACCGAAUCCAGGAACUGGAGACUCAGAUGAAUAGCAUGAAGGAUGAGCUGGAGAACAAGCACCUGGAAGGAGACGUGGCCAGCCUGAGAGAGAAAUACCAGAGAGACUUUGAAAGUCUUAAGGCCACAUGCGAGCGUGGUUUCGCUGCAAUGGAAGAAACCCACCAAAAGGUUGUAGAAGACCUCCAGCGGCAGCAUCAGAGAGAGAUUUCAAAGCUCAUGGAGGAGCGAGAAAGAUUGCUGGCUGAAGAGACUGCUGCUACUAUUGCUGCUAUUGAGGCAAUGAAAAAUGCACACAAGGAGGAAAUGGAGAAGAACCAGCGCUCCCAGUUGAGUGGUCUUAACUCGGAUGUUGACGAGCUCCGCCUGGAAUACGAGGAAGAGCUCCAGUCCAUCCAGAGAGAACUGGAGGUUUUGUCGGAGCAGUACUCCCAGAAAUGUCUGGAGAACGCUCACCUGGCUCAAGCACUGGAGGCAGAGAGACAGGCCCUCCGGCAGUGUCAGAGAGAAAACCAGGAGCUGAAUUCUCACAACCAGGAGCUAAAUAACAGGCUGUCUGCAGAAAUCACUCGCAUGCGCUCAUGUUUCAGCGGUGAAACUGCCCUCUCACCCAUUACUCAUGGCAAAGAUGUUUAUGAACUGGAGGUGCUGCUACGAAUAAAGGAGUCAGAGAUCCAAUAUCUUAAACAGGAAAUCCACUCUUUGAAGGAUGAGCUGCAGUCUGCUUUGAGGGACAAGAAGUACGCCACUGACAAAUAUAAGGACAUAUAUACAGAGCUGAGCAUAGUUAAAGCAAAGGCUGACUGUGAUAUCAGCAAACUGAAGGAGAAGCUGCUCAUGGCCACGGAAGCAUUAGGGGAAAGGACUGUUGAUGACGCAGUUACAUCUGGAUAUGACAUUAUGAAAUCAAAAAGUAAUCCAGAUUUCAUGAAAAAGGAAAAGGCAACAGCCUCCAAACCACUGAGAGGCAUAAGGUCAAAGUCUGUCACUGAACAGGUCUCAUGGGAUAGCUGACACUCCCAUUCUGGGGUCAUUUCCCAUCCAAGCCCUGCCUAAAGAUGUGCUGUAGAGCCUGAAAGAGGGACUGACUGUGCAGGAACGCAUGAAGCUUUUUGAGGCUAAAAACUCCAGAAAGAUUUAAAUGAUGUGUAACUCUAAAGUUCGACCCGUGACCUCGGAUAAGCCGACUGAAGCUUUUUAUGACAACAACAAAUGCGUUAAAAAUGUUCAGACCGGGAUCUAUAGCUGCCAUUCAUCUUAACUGUUAUUUUUUUUAUUAACUGGAUGCACAUUAUAAAUCCUGUGAUUUUAUCUUUUUAAUAACAUCACAUCAAUAAUCUGUCGAAGUUAGUUGUCAGAAAUACUUCCUAUUUUCUUUAGUUCUCAGAAAUGCCAAAACACUCAACAGUAUGAAUUAUAUCCAGUUACCAGUAUGAAUUAUCUGCUGUAUUUUAUUCUUGUUACAGUGUUUAUAUCUCAUGGUUUUUAUUGUGUUUGACGUUGCACCAGUUGAGCUGUACAUAACUACUGGUUAUGAGUGGAGUAGUGAGUGGUGGUGAUCGCUGAGGCAUACGCUGUACUUACAGUUUGAAUGGUGGUUGAAAAACAAUGUGAUGCUUCUGUUUGAGGAUGAAUCCAUAGAUAAUAGGGAAGGAGGAGGGCAUGACUGGACUCUUACCACUUGACUACUUGAGAAAGCUUUUUUGUUUUUAAAUGGGUUUAGUGACUACAGAUCGGUUAUUGCAGUGCAACCAAACAUGCUGACCGUGUCAUAUUCAGUGAAAAGCAGUUUUUGUUUGGUAAUGGAGUUCUUAAUUUCUUUUUAGCUCUUUAAUUUGGCUUUGCUUUGACAUGGUUUGUGAAUGUGCUGUUUGCGAAAUGAAACUUUUAGGACCUUGCAUGACUGUACAUCAAGAUUUAAACUGCAGAAUGAUCUUCACCUUGGUUUUUUUCUCUCCCUAUUUUAUGCUUUAGUGUGGAUGUUUUAAACUGAUCAAGCUUUGCUUCUCGCAGAUCCUACUGUGUUGAUGUUGACAUUGAAAUGUUUUACUGUAAAGCAUCAGCCUGAAAGCACUUGGCCCCUUACCCUGAUCGCUUAUUUUGGUCUAAAUAUGCCUCAGCUGAGUGAAAAAUAGAAACACCCAUGAAACCUGUGCAGCUAUGGAAACACACUGUAUAGUAUUAGAAUCACAAAUUGUACAUAUAAGUAUGCCAUACAGAAAGACUUCUGUUUUGUUUAACUUUUACUUUGCUCAAUAGCUCUACAUGAAAUAUAUAUGAAUAUUUUUUAUUUCUAUUUGAAUGUAUCCUGUCUAAUAAAUGAAGUGUUUG